rnacentral:lncRNA from 1 species
UGAAACUAGUGCUGUGUUGCGAAAUUGUAUGUGGUAGGCAUUAUGAUAUAGAAAAAAAGCUUACUGGAGUUUUAGACUGAUGUACCCAUAUUGCCAUUGAUUUGUUGCUGUGAUGCUGAGGUACAAUAGUUAGGAGAUGCAGCACUAGUGGUGACAGCGGUGACUCAGCCAAAUGUGUUCGAUUAUCCCCUUCAGGCAAUGUGUGCACAUUUGUGUAUGCCAAGAUGAUCCAUGAAAAGCAAGAGCACUGAUGAAAAUAAUAUUUAAAUGUGCUGCAUAUGUCUUGGAAACACUUCUGAUUGGCACUUGUGCUGCAAGAUUUAAUAUGUGCAAAAAGCUGAAAUUUAGAUGGCUGGAUGUUUGCGCUUAGUGUCAGUACGUCGUCAUGUAGCCAGUUGACUUCUUUUGCUGGUUUUCGAAAUGUUUCACAUCAGGCUGGAUAGGUGCUUUAUAAGUAUGCUACACAUGAAAUAGUUGAUGUUCUCAUAUCUGACGCUUCUGUACAGAGUUCUUGCAUAGAGUCCACAUUCUAUAAUCUUAUUGGCAAAACUUACUGAGAUAUUAAAAAUUCAUAGUUAGUUCUGCAGCUGUGCGCUUUUCAUGGUUCUGAAGAUGCAAUAAAUGUGGUAUAACUAAAUUUUCAAUAGACAGAAUUAAUUGGCACCUGAAGAGGUUGCUGUGUUGCACUGCUAUUCUUGGUAGGAGAGAGAAAGAGAGCUAGGAGAGGAAAGGCAGGGAGGUCAACCAGAAGAGCGUCCGAUUUGCUACCCUGCACUAGGGUAGCAAAAUGAGCUUUAUGCCAGCAGACAAGUAGAAUGCGACUUCCCACUGCAGCUGUGCUUUCAAAACUUUGCUUGGCACAUUCUUGUGUCUGGGCAUUAUGACUGAAAAAAAAAAAAAAAACAUUAAUAAGGGGGGUCUAUUUUGAGUCAGCGUAGGUAGUUUCGAGUCGCAUAGCGCUAACCUUCCUUGUGACGCGAGCACCAUCAUGGCACCCUGGCACUUGCAUGGCACGAUAGUCAUGUGAUAGUGGUAACGUGUGCAUGUUGUACUAAAAUCUCAGAAACCUAUGUUGGCUAUUUUUUUUAGCAACUGUUUGUACCCCGUGUGCAUUUCUCUUGUGCAGCUGGAGUUGCAUCUUAUACCUUGCUUCCCACUGCUGUGCCGCGGGUAGAGUGCCCCAUAGACCAGCAGCGACGCCGGCGUGCUCCCUACAUCAACAGAGAGGGCAGGUACCAGUGCUCUUUCUGUCCUUACCGCACCGACUACCAGACCAACCUGAUAGCACACCAGCGAACACACACAGGGGAAAGACCAUUCCGCUGCAACUUCUGUGCCAAGGGGUUUACCCAAAAGAGCAACUUGAAAUCCCACCUGAAGAAGCACAUAAACGAUGCUGUUGCCAAGUGAAUUUGCUGACUCCCUGCUGGUUUGUGCUUGUGUGUGCACCACUGAACAAGCAGCUGCGUCAGAACUAUGCUCCAUUGUGCUUAGUAUUAGCAGCACCACUUUAUCUUCUAAGCACUGUCAUUUUUUCACAAGAUAAUUUUGCUUUUAUGUGGCCAUCUGGUGGAUGCAUAGGUGCUCAAACUUGAGGCAUUUAUGCUUAUAAUGUAAUUGCAAAGCAAAUGUGUGAAAGUGAGAAAAAAAAAAAGUAAACAAAUCCUGCUGGGCAAGCCGUAACAUUGGUACUGCUUCAGUGAUGGUAGUAUUCAACAGCUAUUUCCCUACUUUCCAGCCAGAAAAUUGAUCUUCAACGAGAGCUAAGAUGAUGCCAACUGUGAAUGAAUUAGGUGCCAUAAGACGACAAACUUGCUCAUCUUUGCAUAUUUAUUUUUGGCCUGAACUCGAGUUAAACAUUCCAAUGUUUAAUCUUAGCACAUGAAGUGUACAGCCAAAACGAUUACAUGUGGCAUGAUGCAUAUUCUUUUAGUUGUGCUUGCAUGUCACUAUAAUGUUCGGAAGUGUAGUUAAUGUUUUGUUUUGGUAAGCAGUACGGGGUGAACCAUUCUUAGCUGAAACACCUCGUUAAUAUUCACUCAGACAUAACUUCAGCAUUUAUCCUACUUUGUGACAGACUUUUACCCCCUGCAAUGUUUAGUGCGAGUCUCUAUUUAUGAAAGAUGAAUAUGCAGCAUUUAAUGCCGGAUUUAAGCUGCCAUAGCAUUUGAAUACUAACAAAAUGCGCUCUUUCAGAGUUAACUGCUCUGUACGUAGAGACUGCUGGAUUUAAAGUAAAAUUCGCGCUGCAGAGAGAUAACUUUCUUGCAUGAAGAAAGGACAAAUUUUAUGUUAUUGCACUCCUAAAAUUGAAGUCAGCAUUUCUGUAAAUAUUGAAAUUUAGCACUGCUACAAGAGUAUUUGCAAAAUUGAGUGUGUUGCACUCUCGCUGAAAUUGAAGGGGUCAUCUUUGCAUUUUGUGCUUCAGGUUCCUCACAAUAUUAUGUGGGAAGUGUUGCUGUGAUUGUACAAUUUGAAUGGCAGGAAGUCAACAUUUGUGCUGCUUGCUGCAAGUAGAUUCUACAAGAGAUAAUUUAAAGACUUAAUUCUUGCACGUUAAAACCUGUCACACAACCAAAGUUUAUGUUAAGUUCCUAAGGCAUUAAGUUAAAAUGUCAUUCUGAAGGUUCCUUAUGUAAAAAUAUAUUUUUCUUGCUGGUGUUAGUUACCAAAGGAGUAACCUGAGCUUAUACAUAGCUUGAACCAGUCUACUUUAGCACUAGUUCUUAUAAGGAUAAGAAAAUCUUCUGAGGUUUGAACACAUUGAAGCCACAAGCUAAGUGCAACUUCUAGCCUCGGUGCUAAUAACUAGUGUAUAAUGCAUCAAAACACUAGAUUUUAUGUUCAUUUGUGCUGAUAAAUAAUAGCCAUUGAAUAUAGAAUAUCUCUAGUUCGUUUUAUUUACACAAAGAUUGUUGGCUUAAGUUGUGAAUAUUAUUCUAAAUUGGCCUUGAUUCAUAUAUGUAUUUACUUUGUUGUAUAAAAUUUGGACAUCUGACACUCCUGAAUUUAAGUGUGGUGAAAUUAAAUUGCCUAGUUGGCAUGGGAAUUUAUAUCUCAUUUCCAUCUUUAAUUGAUAGUUAUUCCAAACAUGUAUAUUUAUAAGCAUUUUCUCGAUCUGAAAUUUGUGGUGAGACAUUGACAAAUAGGACGACGUCUAAAAAUUUACAACUGCAGGUAUGUUCGAACAAAAUUAUCCAGCAAUGAUUUAUGCAAUUCUUAUAUAUUAAUAAUUGUUUAUGUCAUGUACAGUAAUUUGUCAUAUUUUUGUUCUUGAUUACCCUUGUUGUGAUAUCUAUGCUCUACUUGUGUAUUUUGAACAAUUAAGCUUGAUGGCACGUAUUGAACAUUUGAUCAGAAAAUGCAGCAUUUGAAUUGGAGGACAGUGUAAUUGGUGUGUGAAUAUUUUCUCCACCUAAUGAUUUCAGCCUUGGUACAUUUGAAAAUAAGGAAGAUCAUAUUAAGUUUUCUAACAGUGUUCUUACUUUGUUACUUUCUAAUUUCAUUCAUUUCCUCUUUCUUUUUUUUUUUUUUUGGCUGAGAUUUCUCAUUUCUUUUUCUUUACACCUGUGAGGAAAAACAAAGUAUGUUGUCACUGAAUCGAGCCUCCCUCAGCUUCCUUAUUCUUCUUACUCAAAGUAUAGAUGUGUUGCACCACAUAAAUAUUUUACAAAAGCACCGUGUGAGCUUUAACUCGGUGAAGUUAUUAGAUCUGUCUUGUAAUUGUUUAUUUAUUUCAUUAUGUUGAACUGUACUGGCUUUAUUACUCACUAAAAUUUCUUACAUUUCCGUUUCCCAAGAUAUUGCUGCCUGUAACAACCACUGUGCUGGCUAUUGCUUGUGCCUGUCAAGUUUAGCUGCCCAUGUGAAAUAGCAUUGUGGUUUCUAUCAUUUCUGUGUGUCAGUCCUAUAAGACUGUGUGAAGAUUGUAUGAAUUGACCGGCAUGCCUGUGCCUACAUACGUAAAUUUUUCUGCAUAUAGUUUAAAGACACCAGUAAACAAAAACAAGGUAGGUUUUUCUUGCAGAACUCAUAAUUCAUAUUGUUAACAAAAAAAAAGAGUUAUAAUUAAUUUGUUAACAAAAAGAGUUUGUUUAAUAUUAGACAAAAUUAAGACAAAACUUUCGUUUUUGAAUACUGUGGCACUGACGGCAUUGGUUUGAUACAGAUUGUACAUUGCCUGCUUGGUCUUUGGGCCCUUUCUUGUGCCCUUUCUUGGGGAAGAAACGUCUGUAAAGGUUGCCCCGUGGUGUCCUUGUAUACAUUCAAAUUGAAUGUAAUUGUUUCUUUCUGUUGAUAUACUGUUUAGUAGUUCUGAGCAGAUGUUGCUAAAACCUCUGAAAUCACAGGCAGCUAGGGCAGGAAUCUCAAGGUGAGGUCGCCAGCUGUCUUUCAUAUUUAGCUGUCUUUCAUAUUUGCACCUUUCUGUCAUAGCGAGUCUCUGCUCAUGGUAAGACUCCUGAUUGCAGCUACAGGAGUGUAACACAUUACUUCCUGCAAACAUAAGUUACAUCUUUAGUGUCUCUUUCAUGAUCUCUUUCUUUAUUACUGACAGCUAUUCUCUGCUGCAUUGAACUGUUGUCUGUUGUGAUAAACUGUCUUCUCAUAUAUGUCAUAGUGUGAUGCCUCAAAUAGUGUGGCGUGUGAUUGUGUAAAAAUAUUUCAUGUGUAAAACUCUUGCCUAUCUGGGAGAUAUGUCAAGUUCAACUUUUCAAACAUAUUAAGUGCUUGCAGUUCCUUGCACUUAUAAGUGCAUUUAGGCUGGAUGCAGUGACAUUUGGUUAAUUCUGCAAAAUGUUUUGCAACUCCUUGUACAGCUUGAAAAAAUAUACAGAACAACCUAAAUACCCCUUGCUUGUCUGUUUUAUGCUUUCAUGCUGGAAAGUUGUGCAUUUCGAAUAAGGUAGCAUAGUAUAUUUGGAAGCUUGUGUCACUGCACGAACCUUCGCACCUGCUGGUAUGAAUAAGGCCCGUAUAGUUUGGUUGAGCGACGCCUCACAAGAUGCCACCAUCGAUGUGGCUAUUCACAGCUCUGUCCCUGUAUCUAAAUGAUGCAUUAACGCCGAAUUACAUGCAUAUCAGUUAAAGUGCUCAUUGAUGUGCCGAAGCUGGUAAACUGCUGGAUGUAUGAUACGCGUCUGAUUUGAUCAAAAGAACAGUGUCAAUGCGUGCCUACUGUUUGAACACUAUUUAGAAUACAUUACUGAAAGGACAACUUGCGGGGCCAGGCUUGAGGGUAGUUCAGCUUAUAAGUGGAAGCAAGUAAUUAUGUGCCCCUGUAUAAAUUUGGGGGGUCGUUGUCAGAUUUCAGUGAGAAGACCUGUAUAGACAAAUUGUUCAGUGUGAUUGACAAAGAUAUUAAAAUGCUGCCAUCACAGAUACACACACAAAACACGCACACACACAGAGUGAGACGGACAGUUAGCGGCAAGUUUUGAAAAAGCUCUUGGGUGAAAAUUGUUGUUCAAAACAGCAAACUGCAAGAAACAAGUGUUUAUGCAGUAGUCUGCUCUUAGCUUCCACUGUGCGUGCCAUGCCCCCUUUGUUUACAAGCGUGUAAUUUGUCAAUUGUCGUAUACUCAUUUCUUUAGGAUUUAUGUGCAUUAUUUGCGUUUUUGUUUAAAGAUGUGUGCUGAAAAGUGUGGCAGAAAAAUUAAGUCUAAGGAAAAAGUGGGAGGGGAGAAAGCUAGGGUAACGCCAUCAGCUGCAAGCAAGGGAAGGAGAAAGUGGGGGGCAGAUUGGCGCGCGGUAUCCUUCUCCAGUGCGGCCAUGGCUGUGCAUAGCUGUAAGCGUGGCUGAGCACAUACACAGCUUGCGCGCUGUUUUAAAUGUAAUCUGCUGCAUCUGUAAAGAGAGGGCAGGCUGAGAUGGCGUGGCAUCAAGUGCUCUGUCUUCCCAUACUUUUAAUACUGAAGGUUGUGUAAUCUCGAGUUUCGGAGACUCAUUGAAGUGAGAGGCAGAGGAAGCAUUCCCCCCCCCCCCCCUCCCCUGCUGCCGACGCUUUUCAGGAUAGUGUUGUCCCUCUGUAGGCAACACUAUCAGCCACAGGGGCAGAGUGGAUGUGAAAGUGUGGCUGGCUUCCCUAUGUAUCCCUGAUGUGAAGGUAUAGUCGACACGGCACUAAACCGUAUCUUCUGUCGCUGACUCUCACAUUCAACAAAAUGAAAAUGUUUUCCCAUUGAAAUUUCCUUUUUCCAAUUGCCCGAUAAUUCGUAAAAUUUUGUAGCCCCUUCUGUUUAAGAAAAAUUAAUCAGUGAAUGCACUUAUUUCCUUAAAAGGUCUCAUUUCAGUGGAACGAAAUUUCAGUAUAAUAAAACAAAUUGCCAAUUUCUCAGACUUCGUCAUAUCAAGGUUUAACUAUUCAUAAUUUGUACAUUAUUAGAGAUGUCAUGGAGACUUCCAGUGCCUUUUUAGAAAAUCGACAGUAAAAAAACCAUAUCACUCUAGUAUUGGUAAUAAAUAUAUACUGCUACCAUAUCGUAUUGUUUGUAUACCAUAUGUUAAGCAUAUGAUGUCUAACGUAAGCGUGGAUGCCGUUAAUUUAUGACUAAUGACAGUGGCUAUGUCCAAGUUGUGUUCGUUCGAGCUGUUUGGCAAUGAAAAUGCUUGCCACUCUGUCAAAAGUUAUAAACCACUGUUCAAAUGACUCUAGCUAACUUAAGUCUAUGUGGUGGAACUCAUGUUGCGUCUCUGGUACCCCAGAGUUCUGUUGACUGAACACAAGUGUUCUCACAUUGCAAUUUGUACCAGUAGGAGUUCAUUGCACAGUUUUGAACAGGCUCCAAGCUUGGUAGUAAAGCUCAAAGUUCUAUUUUUGUGAAACACAAUUGUGCAAGUGCAUUAUGUUUAAGUGCAAAAGGUGCAUUGCUUGCAAGGUUAUUUCUUGGCUUGUUAUCAAUAUUAUCUUCAACAGUGUGCUUCACAGUGGAACAAGAACACUGGUCAUUUGAAAAACUUAUUAGUGUGAGAUUGGCACCCAGUACGCCGUAACAAAGGUGCAAUAUUUGUCUUCAGAAGCAGACGUGUAGGCUGAAGGAUACUCAGCUUCUGCAGUGUGUAAUUCUACCUGAAUAAACUGUUUUCAGUGCUGGUGAGCAAAAA